UCUUCCCUUUGCUUCUCUCUCUCUCUCUCUCUCUCUCUCCUUCCUGCGCUCAGACUUCCUGUCUCCCAUCAAUGUUCUCCUUUUUCUCCGGCCGCUAUGACGGAAUCCCGCGUUUCCUGUUGUGAAGGCCGCUGCCGGGGUACGGCGUGAAGGCUCCGAGCCCGACGCAGCGCUUCAGUGUCACGGCGGCGGCACCGCAAGCAAAUGGUUAGCAGACAAGUUUGCUGCCGUGACUCAUCCCCACGAAGGACAUUUGGGGGAAAGAAAAAUAUUUGGAGUACAAACACCGGACGACGACUUGACGGACUUGAGAUGACCUACCAAGGAAAGCUCCAAAGGACACCCUGCCGAUGCCUGAGGCGCACACGCACGCACGCACGCACGGCAGAGAAGAGAAGCACGUCAAAGAUGUCGCCGGCUACAAUAACUGACCAGCGUCAUGCGGCGAUACCGAAGUGCUGCCUCCGCGAGCGAAAAUGUCUGGCUUUGUCUGCUUCAGACUGUAGGCUGUUUGAAAACGUGCGGCCGCUCGCCUAGUAGCAACGACCUGGCCCCGCACCCGGUCGUCAUGGUAACAACAUAAUGUACGCAGGCGUGGACCUGGCCACAAACCAAUUUGAUGGCUUAGUGUCGAAGUUCUGCCUCCGCCAAGGAAAAUACGUCUUUCUCUGCUUUCUUCUCAGACUUUGGGGCAGGGAAAGCACAUACCGGU